GGCCCCAUAGUCUAAUGGAUCAAACAAUCCCCUCCUAAGGGAUAGUUACAGGUUCGAUUCCUGUUGGGGCCGCCA
rnacentral:tRNA from 1 species